GACGAACGCUGGCGGCGUGCUUAACACAUGCAAGUCGAACGGAAAGGCCCUGCUUUUGUGGGGUGCUCGAGUGGCGAACGGGUGAGUAACACGUGAGUAACCUGCCCUUGACUUUGGGAUAACUUCAGGAAGCUGGGGCUAAUACCGGAUAGGAGCUCCUGCUGCAUGGUGGGGGUUGGAAAGUUUCGGCGGUUGGGGAUGGACUCGCGGCUUAUCAGCUUGUUGGUGGGGUAGUGGCUUACCAAGGCUUUGACGGGUAGCCGGCCUGAGAGGGUGACCGGCCACAUUGGGACUGAGAUACGGCCCAGACUCCUACGGGAGGCGGCAGUGGGGAAUAUUGCACAAUGGGCGGAAGCCUGAUGCAGCAACGCCGCGUGCGGGAUGACGGCCUUCGGGUUGUAAACCGCUUUCGCCUGUGACGAAGCGUGAGUGACGGUAAUGGGUAAAGAAGCACCGGCUAACUACGUG
rnacentral:rRNA from 1 species